rnacentral:lncRNA from 13 species
CCCAAGUGCAGGUAUUUUCCUUCAUUACUACCUGUAAGUGAAUGCUCAGUCUCCAACUCUGUUAAAAUUAUGAAUAAUUUCCAGCCUUCUCAUGUACUGUCGCCUUGAAGGUAUUAAUGAGCUCUGGUCCUGUCCCCUCUGAGUUGAAGCAGUGCCAUUGUUUCUAUUGCAGUCACAUGUCUCACUGUCCAAUUCAGGGUUUGUUGCUCAACAGUGGAAGUUCUCUCUGGGCUGGAAUUCAGAAAGUGAGCUUUCAGGCUGGGAGCAACUAAAAAACAUCAAAUGCAGCUAUUCACUGCUAUACUUCUGGAAGAGCAAGGGAGAUGAAUGGUUUCACUGGCAGUCUGGCUGCUUUUGGCCAAAAUCCAGAAAGUGCAGAUGCAGUGCUGGCAACAGCAGGCAACCCCUACCCUAGAGGAGGAUGGAGCUGUCGAGAUCUGCAAGCAGAGGAUUUUGGAGGACUGCAGUGAAACAGGCAACUGAAAACAUUCAGCUACAUUGUAAGGGGGUGAAAGAAACUGCUGAGGUGUUGGGGAGGGCAGGAUGCUUUCUGUGUGAAGG